GCUUACCAUGCAGUCGAGCGGUAGCACAAGGGAGCUUGCUCCCUGGGUGACGAGCGGCGGACGGGUGAGUAAUGUCUGGGAAACUGCCUGAUGGAGGGGGAUAACUACUGGAAACGGUAGCUAAUACCGCAUAACGUCGCAAGACCAAAGAGGGGGACCUUCGGGCCUCUUGCCAUCAGAUGUGCCCAGAUGGGAUUAGCUAGUAGGUGGGGUAAUGGCUCACCCAGGCGACGAUCCCUAGCUGGUCUGAGAGGAUGACCAGCCACACUGGAACUGAGACACGGUCCAGACUCCUACGGGAGGCAGCAGUGGGGAAUAUUGCACAAUGGGCGCAAGCCUGAUGCAGCCAUGCCGCGUGUGUGAAGAAGGCCUUCGGGUUGUAAAGCACUUUCAGCGAGGAGGAAGGUGGUGAACUUAAUACGUUCAUCAAUUGACGUUACUCGCAGAAGAAGCACCGGCUAACUCCGUGCCAGCAGCCGCGGUAAUACGGAGGGUGCAAGCGUUAAUCGGAAUUACUGGGCGUAAAGCGCACGCAGGCGGUUUGUUAAGUCAGAUGUGAAAUCCCCGGGCUCAACCUGGGAACUGCAUUUGAAACUGGCAAGCUAGAGUCUCGUAGAGGGGGGUAGAAUUCCAGGUGUAGCGGUGAAAUGCGUAGAGAUCUGGAGGAAUACCGGUGGCGAAGGCGGCCCCCUGGACGAAGACUGACGCUCAGGUGCGAAAGCGUGGGGAGCAAACAGGAUU
rnacentral:rRNA from 1 species